rnacentral:rRNA from 1 species
CGGACGGGUGAGUAACGCGUGGGUAACCUGCCUUAUACAGGGGGAUAACAGUCAGAAAUGGCUGCUAAUACCGCAUAAGCGCACAGAGCUGCAUGGCUCAGUGUGAAAAACUCCGGUGGUAUAAGAUGGACCCGCGUUGGAUUAGCUGGUUGGUGGGGUAACGGCCCACCAAGGCGACGAUCCAUAGCCGGCCUGAGGGGGUGAACGGCCACAUUGGGACUGAGACACGGCCCAG